rnacentral:lncRNA from 1 species
CUUCUUUUUUAUUUCUUUUUUCCAGUUUUCUUGAACCAGAUGUACUCGGUUAAGACUUGAGCUUGUUUUAAUAUAUGGCCGUAUGCAUCUUUCGAUGCAGAGGCCGGGGCUAAGCCUCCUUUUCUAAAAAAAUUCAAAGCUAGGUACCUUCAUAAAUCAUAUUUAUCUUGGCGGAUAGUACAUUAACUUUGAGAUAGCUGAAAAAGACACCUACACAAAACACGUUCGAUAUAUUUUACGUGAUUUGUGCAUCUCAUACUUCAUGCAUAUGCCUCACAAUUCCACUAGCAUUUUAUUUAAUACAGUAACAUUACGUCUAUCUUUGGUUGUAAUUUGACUAUCACGUACUAUGCACGUAUAACUUACCAGUAC